CCUACGGGCGGCUGCAGUGAGGAAUAGUUGUCAAUGGGCGCGAGCCUGAACCAGCCAAGUCGCGUGAGGGAAGACGGUCCUAUGGAUUGUAAACCUCUUUUGUCGGGGAGCAAAAGACGCCACGCGUGGCGUUCCGAGAGUACCCGAAGAAAAAGCAUCGGCUAACUCCGUGCCAGCAGCCGCGGUAAUACGGAGGAGGCGAGCGUUAUCCGGAUUUAUUGGGUUUAAAGGGUGCGCCGGCGGAAGAUCAAGUCAGCGGUAAAAUUGAGAGGCUCAACCUCUUCGAGCCGUUGAAACUGGUUUUCUUUCGUGAGCGAGCAGUAUGCGGACUGCGUGGUGUAGCGGUGACAUGCAUAGAUAUCACGC
rnacentral:rRNA from 1 species